rnacentral:rRNA from 1 species
GGGGGGCAACCCCCGAGUAGAGUGGCGAACGGGUGAGUAAUACAUCGGAACGUGUCCAGUAGCGGGGGAUAACCUCUCGAAAGAGAGGCUAAUACCGCAUACGACCUACGGGUGAAAGAGAGGGAUCGCAAGACCUCUCACUAUUGGAGCGGCCGAUGUCGGAUUAGCUAGUUGGCGGGGUAAAAGCCCACCAAGGCGACGAUCCGUAGCUGGUCUGAGAGGACGGCCAGCCACACUGGAACUGAGACACGGUCCAGACUCCUACGGGAGGCAGCAGUGGGGAAUUUUGGACAAUGGGCGCAAGCCUGAUCCAGCCAUGCCGCGUGAGUGAAGAAGGCCUUCGGGUUGUAAAGCUCUUUCGGCGGGAACGAAAAGGUCCGUGUUAACACCAUGGAUCCAUGACGGUACCCGCAGAAGAGGCACCGGCUAACUACGUGCCAGCAGCCGCGGUAAUACGUAGGGUGCAGGCGUUAAUCGGAAUUACUGGGCGUAAAGCGUGCGCAGGCGGUUUGCUAAGACAGGUGUGAAAUCCCCGGGCUUAACCUGGGAACUGCGCUUGUUACUGGCAAGCUAGAGUGUGGCAGAGGGGGGUGGAAUUCCACGUGUAGCAGUGAAAUGCGUAGAGAUGUGGAGGAACACCGAUGGCGAAGGCAGCCCCCUGGGCUAACACUGACGCUCAUGCACGAAAGCGUGGGGAGCAAACAGGAUUAGAUACCCUGGUAGUCCACGCCCUAAACUAUGUCAACUGGUUGUCGGGGAAGCAAUUCCUUGGUAACGAAGC